rnacentral:rRNA from 1 species
CCUACGGGUGGCAGCAGUGGGGAAUAUUGCACAAUGGGGGGAACCCUGAUGCAGCAAUGCCGCGUGAAGGAUGAAGGUUUUCGGAUUGUAAACUUCUUUUGUACGGGACGAAGAAAGUGACGGUACCGUAAGAAUAAGCCACGGCUAACUACGUGCCAGCAGCCGCGGUAAUACGUAGGUGGCAAGCGUUGUCCGGAUUUACUGGGUGUAAAGGGCGUGCAGGCGGAGAGACAAGUCAGAUGUGAAAUCCACGGGCUCAACCCGUGAACUGCAGUUGAAACUGUUUCCCUUGAGUGUCGGAGAGGUAAUCGGAAUUCCUUGUGUAGCGGUGAAAUGCGUAGAUAUAAGGAAGAACACCAGUGGCGAAGGCGGAUUACUGGACGAUAACUGACGGUGAGGCGCGAAAGCGUGGGGAGCAAACAGGAUUAGAUACCCCUGUAGUC